rnacentral:tRNA from 1 species
GACACCAUAGCCAAGUGGUUACGGCGACAGAUUCGAAAUCUGUUUCCCUUUGGGAGCGUAGGUUCGAAUCCUGCUGGUGUCG